rnacentral:tRNA from 1 species
GCGGGUGUAGCCAAGCGGUAAGGCAAGGGACUUUGACUCCCUGAUGCGUAGGUUCAAAUCCUACCACCCGUGCCA